UAAAUUUAGAGUUUGAUCCUGGCUCAGGACGAACGCUGGCGGCGUGCUUAACACAUGCAAGUCGAGCGAUGAAGCUUCCUUCGGGAAGUGGAUUAGCGGCGGACGGGUGAGUAACACGUGGGUAACCUGCCUCAAAGUGGGGGAUAGCCUUCCGAAAGGAAGAUUAAUACCGCAUAAUAUAAGAGAAUCGCAUGAUUUUCUCAUCAAAGAUUUAUUGCUUUGAGAUGGACCCGCGGCGCAUUAGCUAGUUGGUAAGGUAACGGCUUACCAAGGCAACGAUGCGUAGCCGACCUGAGAGGGUGAUCGGCCACAUUGGAACUGAGACACGGUCCAGACUCCUACGGGAGGCAGCAGUGGGGAAUAUUGCGCAAUGGGGGAAACCCUGACGCAGCAACGCCGCGUGGGUGAUGAAGGUCUUCGGAUUGUAAAGCCCUGUUUUCUAGGACGAUAAUGACGGUACUAGAGGAGGAAGCCACGGCUAACUACGUGCCAGCAGCCGCGGUAAUACGUAGGUGGCGAGCGUUGUCCGGAUUUACUGGGCGUAAAGGGUGCGUAGGCGGAUGUUUAAGUGGGAUGUGAAAUCCCCGGGCUUAACCUGGGGGCUGCAUUCCAAACUGGAUAUCUAGAGUGCAGGAGAGGAAAGCGGAAUUCCUAGUGUAGCGGUGAAAUGCGUAGAGAUUAGGAAGAACACCAGUGGCGAAGGCGGCUUUCUGGACUGUAACUGACGCUGAGGCACGAAAGCGUGGGUAGCAAACAGGAUUAGAUACCCUGGUAGUCCACGCCGUAAACGAUGGAUACUAGGUGUAGGGGGUAUCAACUCCCCCUGUGCCGCAGUUAACACAAUAAGUAUCCCGCCUGGGGAGUACGGUCGCAAGAUUAAAACUCAAAGGAAUUGACGGGGGCCCGCACAAGCAGCGGAGCAUGUGGUUUAAUUCGAAGCAACGCGAAGAACCUUACCUGGACUUGACAUCCCUUGCAUAGCCUAGAGAUAGGUGAAGCCCUUCGGGGCAAGGAGACAGGUGGUGCAUGGUUGUCGUCAGCUCGUGUCGUGAGAUGUUAGGUUAAGUCCUGCAACGAGCGCAACCCUUGUUAUUAGUUGCUACCAUUAAGUUGAGCACUCUAAUGAGACUGCCUGGGUAACCAGGAGGAAGGUGGGGAUGACGUCAAAUCAUCAUGCCCCUUAUGUCCAGGGCUACACACGUGCUACAAUGGUAGGUACAAUAAGACGCAAGACCGUGAGGUGGAGCAAAACUUAUAAAACCUAUCUCAGUUCGGAUUGUAGGCUGCAACUCGCCUACAUGAAGCUGGAGUUGCUAGUAAUCGCGAAUCAGAAUGUCGCGGUGAAUACGUUCCCGGGCCUUGUACACACCGCCCGUCACACCAUGAGAGCUGGUAACACCCGAAGUCCGUGAGGUAACCGUAAGGAACCAGCGGCCGAAGGUGGGAUUAGUGAUUGGGGUGAAGUCGUAACAAGGUAGCCGUAGGAGAACCUGCGGCUGGAUCACCUCCUUU
rnacentral:rRNA from 1 species